UUAACCGAAAGGUUGGUGGUUCG
rnacentral:piRNA from 4 species